AAUAGAUACCCCGGUAGUCCACGCCGUAAACGAUGAGUGCUAAGUGUUAGAGGGUUUCCGCCCUUUAGUGCUGCAGCUAACGCAUUAAGCACUCCGCCUGGGGAGUACGGCCGCAAGGCUGAAACUCAAAGGAAUUGACGGGGGCCCGCACAAGCGGUGGAGCAUGUGGUUUAAUUCGAAGCAACGCGAAGAACCUUACCAGGUCUUGACAUCCUUUGCCAACCCUAGAGAUAGGGCGUUCCCCUUCGGGGGACAGAGUGACAGGUGGUGCAUGGUUGUCGUCAGCUCGUGUCGUGAGAUGUUGGGUUAAGUCCCGCAACGAGCGCAACCCUUGAUCUUAGUUGCCAGCAUUCAGUUGGGCACUCUAAGGUGACUGCCGGUGACAAACCGGAGGAAGGUGGGGAUGACGUCAAAUCAUCAUGCCCCUUAUGACCUGGGCUACACACGUGCUACAAUGGAUGGUACAAAGAGCUGCGAACCCGCGAGGGUAAGCGAAUCUCAUAAAGCCAUUCUCAGUUCGGAUUGUAGGCUG
rnacentral:rRNA from 1 species